UUUAUAAAAUGUAUUUUGAAAAUUUAUCCACCUAUUUCAAUAUUUUGAAUUUUUUUUAUUUUUAAUGGUAAAAUUCCUCAACUAUGUUUACUUAGUGUAGAAAAACCUAAACUAAAGAUUUACUCGUAGUAAUAGUAAUUAUGACCUGCUAGAGUUUAAUUUAUUAAAUAAAAUUAGUUUAAGGGGUUUUUUGUUUAAUACUUAGUUUGUGAUUUUUACCCAAAACAAACUUAGUUGAUGAGUUUUAACUUUAAAAUUCUUUAUUCUUUUCUUAUUAUCUAUUAUUUAAAUUCUUAUAGUAAGAUUUGUUUUAUCAAAAACUAAUUGCAAUCAACUGACGAGAUAUCUUAUUUCCUAGUAUCAUACAUUUAAUAUUUAUAUAUAUAUAUAUAACAAGAUUUGAGUUAUCAAAAUUAUGUAUAUAUUAUAACGAGAAUAUCUUUAAAAAUUUAUUAGAAGAUAUUCUAUCUCAUAGCUGAAUUUAAAUUUAUUAUAGAAUAUUUUGCUAUAUAAAUAUCACGCCACCCCUAUUAGUUUCACGCAUCUAUCUUUUAAGUUUUCAUAUGUUUUUGAUAGUUAUAAUUUAAAUUGUACUUUUGUGAUCUUGCGCAGGUGUAUGAUAAUCAAUAAGUAACUCAUAGACGGGAACACCAUUACAGGUAAUUUUAUGGAGGAUUCUUCUUCUCCGUUUAUUUUUGUUCUCUUCCUCUCCAUGUUGUAUCUCUAUCUAUAUUUUUGCAUCAGUAGUGAUUCAACUAACAAAAAGAGACGACUAUGUUUAUCCAGGAACUGAUCAUCCCUUUCGAAAAAUGUAAUUCUUUUUUUUAUAAAGUUAAAUCACUUAGCAAGAAUAUAAUAUAAGAUGUGUAUGCUAAUCAAGUGCAAUUUAUUUAUUGUGCAUGAUCCUCUUCAGGUACGUCUGAGAGCCAAAGGUAAUCUCAAAGUUUUUUAAAAACUUUGAAACUCAUUGAAGUUGUCCUAUCAAUUAUAUAAUUUGUUAUCUUUUGGGGAUUGUUUACAUCUUUAAAUAUUUUUGUUAGAAUUACUUCUUUUCUCACUCAAGGCUUAGAAAAGGAAACCGUAAAUUAUCUAUGUUGUUACAAUGAAACCAAUGAUAAUAAACAGGUAAUUUAAAUCUCUCUUUUAUAUUUCAUGGCUGAUUUUUUAUUGGGGUUAUGCGUGAAAUAUUGGGUUUUUUAUCAAUUAUAUUUUUCUGAUGUUUUAAGAUUAGUGUUAAAUGUGAUCAUUUGAAGCAUAAUGCAUUCUCAUAACACACCUCCAUGAUAAACACUUCUAUAUAAAUUAUGUCAAUUAUGUUAGUGAUUUUGCAUCUGAGUAUUGUGACUGAUGUUCCAAGAGAGAAAGUGUAUCAUCUCAAACCGAGAUUGUUGGGAAAGGUAAUUGGGUUAUAGAUGUAAUUGGAUAUUGAUAUCUAAAAGAUACAUUUUAUUAGAUAGUACCAAUGAGUCCUUUUAAACUUUUUGAACUCUAACUUUUUGAACUAACAGAAUAAUCAUGCUUAACCUAUAAGCAGUUCAAAGAGUUAUGUAUCUAAAAGAUACGCUUUAUCAGAUAUAAAUGAUAUGUUUUAUUAGAUAGUACCAAGCAGUCCUUUUAAAUUCAAACAAUAUCAUGUUCAGAGUUGUACACAUUGUAUUGACCUUUUUUUUUCCUUGCGGUGUGUAUUCAGAUAGCAGUAGUGAAGUGCAGAUAUGAAGUAAUAUCAACCAAAAUUAAGAAAAGUCUUUUAAAAGCAGAGAUAAUCACAUGGACCUCUCUUGAACAUGGCAAACAACCAGCAGUUUUGUCGGAUCCGAAUUUCUUAAACAGGUUUUCUACUUUUUAUUUUCUUAUUAUUUAGUUCACCUGAUGAGAAGUUUGAAUCACAGACUCUUGACAUUUUAAAAUUUAUAUUGUUUGUUUGUGUCAUGGUGCAGAGGUUUCAAUGAGACCGGCUUAUCGUUCUUCCAGGAAAGUAAAGGAAUAUGACAAGCUUGAAGUUGAAGUGAAGAAGAAUAGAAGGAUGAUAAGCUUGAAGGAGACACUACUUUGAACAUGUUCUUCCGUGAUAUAUAUUUGAAUUCUGAUGAGGAUAUGAAGAGUGCUAGAGCAAAUUAUUUUUUUGCACAAUCAACAUGUGAAAUCUAUUAGGACGGUGCUUUCAAUAGACUGAAAAGAUGUUGGUGCUAAGAAAAUCGAGAGCACUCUUCAUGAUGAUCUGGCGCUCAAGACAUAGGAAAUAUGAUCUUAUAUGAUGUGUGGGUUUUACCUUAAUCUAGACAGAACUCGAAGCCUUAGUCUUAAGGUCUGGUUUCUCUACUUUAUGGAUUUGAGGUAUUUUGUAUAUUCCAUAACUCAUAUUUACAUUGAAAUUUUUAAUCUAAACAUUCUAAUUUAUUCUUUGUUCAUAUGAACAUAGAAUAAAUAUCAAUAUGUAACAUCGAAUCUUAGUUAUAAAUAUGUAAUUAUCAAUUUAAUAUUAAUGUUAAUGCUCGCACAUGCAUGCGGACAGUCUACCUAGUUGUCAUAAUAAAAUUAGUACACAAACAUAAAAAAGAACAAAGGACAUUAAAUUUUAUUAAAAACAUCAAAUAUAUAUUUUUCGUACAAAUGAACGUUCCGGAAUAAAAAAAAAACAUACUUAUUUAUCUUACAUUCUUACAAAUUGAAUUAAAAGUCCUGUAAAGUAAAUAUUUUCAUGUUUUCUGCAUCAAUGUCUAAUUAUAUGAAAUUAAUAAUAGAAAUUUUAAAUUAAUUGAAUAAUAUUAACAUAUAUAAUUUAUUCUAUUAGAAAAUAAAUAAGAAUAAUUAAAAGUUAAAGACUAAUUACAAUUAAAAUAAAUCAUUUAAAAAAUGAAGAUGUCAACAAUAUAUCUUCAAAUUUUAAUCAACACCUUAUAUUGUUUUAUUUUGAAACAAGAAAUAAAAUAUCAUUAGAGCAAAAAAAAAAUCAAAAUAAAGCAAAAAAGAAAAAGAAUAUGAAACACCAUUAGAAAUUGUCUUAGGAAUAUAGAUAGAUUAUUCACACUCUCAAAAUACUCUUGCAAAUUUUAAAAAGCAUUAAGUUCACAGAUCAGUUCACCAAAUUCAUACUAAAUCCGAGCAAUCCGUUUAAAAAAAAAUAUGUAGUUGAUAAUAUAAUACAUAGGUUUUGGAUAUG